GUUACAGAUGAACCUUCGUAGGGUUGAAGC
rnacentral:other from 1 species